AAUGCGUCCCGGGUGAGUCCCGGCAUCGGCACCGAGCGAGGGAGUCCCGGGACCGGUGUUCGAGUGUGGAAGAGAUAUUCCUGUGGUCUCUUGAAGGCAUAGCUGUCACCUGACCUCUUCUCCAAAGCUUUUCCUCUCUAUUUGCACUGCAUUUAAAGAAAGUCCAGAACAGUCACGUCUCCUCAAACACGCGUGGCCUGCUGUACGUGCUGAGCAAGAGGAAGAGCCCUUCAUCAUCCCAGUCACGUGUGGACCUGAGAGGAGAAGGAGGAGGAGCCAUUGUUUGACCGAAGCUUCUGGGGAGGGUAGAUCAAAGUGAGUGUAGUGCUUGCUGCCUGUCCAUGCUGUUGGCUGUGCUGUGAAGUGUCUGUGAGUCAGCUCCUCAGAUACUUGAGAGCCAUCAGUCUUGUCCAGCUGCAUACUUUCAGCAAUGGUCACUACUUACUUUAU
ensembl:lncRNA